rnacentral:rRNA from 1 species
GAUGAACGCUGGCGGCGUGCCUAAUACAUGCAAGUCGAGCGAACGGACGAGAAGCUUGCUCUUCUGAUGUUAGCGGCGGACGGGUGAGUAACACGUGGAUAACCUACCUAUAAGACUGGGAUAACUUCGGGAAACCGGAGCCAAUACCGGAUAAUACUUUGAACCGCAUGGUUCAAAAGUGAAAGACGGUCUUGCUGUUACAUAUAGAUGGAUCCGCGCUGCAUUAGCUAGUUGGUAAGGUAACGGCUUACCAAGGCAACGAUGCAUAGCCGACCUGAGAGGAUGAUCAGCCACACUGGAACUGAGACACGGUCCAGACUCCUACGGGAGGCAGCAGUAGGGAAUCUUCCACAAUGGGCGAAAGCCUGACGGAGCAACGCCGCGUGAGUGAUGAAGGUCUUCGGAUCGUAAAACUCUGUUAUUAGGGAAGAACAUAUGUGUAAGUAACUGUGCACGUCUUGACGGUACCUAAUCAGAAAGCCACGGCUAACUACGUG